UAAAGCAUUGUGAGAGACAAAAAUAUACAAAAGAGCAGAGAGAUUAGAGAGAUCAAGGAGAAAAAAGACAGAAUUGAAAAGGCCGCAUCCACCGGUUCUUGGCCCAAGUGCUGCGGAUUCUCUCCUGCACCGCAUCAGUUGGCACCGAGCGCCCCCCUCGAUCACCCCGGGCCGCGGCCCUCCCUCCCGGGUGGGAGGUAAAGCAGCCCCAGCAGCUAACCCCAAACGCAGAGAGGGAGGGCGGGAGCGAAGAGAAGGGAGGGCGAGGGGAGGGAUGGAGGGAGGGGCUGCGGUAGGAGGCAGCCGUGUGGUUCCAGCUCAUUUUUUUUCCUCUUUCUCCAGUCGGUUUUCUUUCCAAACAGGGAAAAGUGUUCCACGAAGCGGUAGCUCCUUGCCGCCUCGCCUUCUCCUCCCUAACCCUGGGCCCGGCCCCCGUCCCGGCGCGAGCUGGUGGAGCCAGGGCUAGAAGCCCUCGGUGCCCCCGGAGCGCAGCGCGCAGGGGACCCGGGCGCGGGGCCAGCGCCCGCACAUGGCUGCAGCCCCCCGCGCGCACCCCGAGGCGCCGCGCCCUGCUCACAGAAGGUCCGUCGGCUGGGCUCGGUCGCCCUGCAGCCAGGCUGCGCUGAGCCGGGAAGUGCCCGUGUCCGGAGAUCGGGAUGUCCCUCUUCUUCCUCUGGCUAGUAUCCUAUUAUGUUGGAACGCUGGGAACUCACACUGAGAUCAAGAGAGUGGCAGAGGAAAAGGUUACCUUGCCCUGUCACCAUCAACUGGGGCUUCCCGAGAAAGACACCCUGGACAUUGAAUGGCUGCUCACCGAUAAUGAAGGGAACCAAAAAGUGGUUAUUACGUAUUCCAGCCGUCAUGUCUACAAUAACUUGACCGAGGAGCAGAAGGGCCGAGUGGCCUUCGCUUCCAACUUCCUGGCAGGAGAUGCUUCCCUGCAGAUUGAGCCUCUGAAACCCAGUGAUGAAGGCAGAUACACCUGCAAGGUGAAGAAUUCAGGACGCUAUGUCUGGAGCCAUGUCAUCUUGAAAGUGCUAGUGAGACCAUCCAAGCCCAAGUGUGAGCUGGAAGGAGAGCCGACCGAAGGAAGUGACCUGACGCUGCAGUGUGAGUCUGCCUCUGGAACUAAGCCCAUUGUGUAUUAUUGGCAGCGAAUCCGGGAGAAGGAGGGAGAAGAUGAACACCUGCCACCCAAAUCCAGAAUUGAUUACAACAACCCUGGCCGAGUGCUGCUGCAGAAUCUCACCAUGGCCUCCUCUGGGCUUUACCAGUGCACAGCAGGCAACGAGGCUGGAAAGGAGAGCUGUGUGGUACGGGUGACUGUACAGUGAAACAGAUGUGCAGAGCAUUGGCAUGGUGGCAGGAGCAGUGACAGGCAUAGUGGCAGGAGCCCUGCUCAUUUUCCUCCUGAUAUGGCUGCUAAUACGAAGGAAAAGCAAAGACAGAUACGAGGAAGAAGACAGACCUAAUGAAAUCCGAGAAGACGCCGAAGCGCCCCGAGCCCGCCUUGUGAAGCCUAGCUCCUCUUCCUCAGGCUCCCGGAGCUCACGCUCUGGCUCCUCCUCCACCCGCUCCACCGGGAACAGUGCCUCCAGAAGCCAGCGGACGCUGUCGAGUGAAGCAGCGCCGCAGCAGCCCGGGCUAGCCCCGCAGGCAUACAGCCUCAUAGGACCGGAAGUGAGAGGUUCUGAACCAAAGAAAGUCCACCAUACGACCCUGACCAAAGCAGAAACCACACUCAGCACAACGCCCAGCCAGAGCAAAGCCUUCCAAACUGUCUGACUUAGAGUGGACUUGACUUGCGCUUGCCCCAAAGUCAGGAUCUUAGCCUAGUCACUGGAGCUCGUCCACCAGCCACGCAAGCCCCUCAGCCAGAUACGAUCUCACUUAAGUAGCUGCAGAAAUGGCACGGACCAGUUCUGAUGAGUACCCUCCUUAUAUAGGAUACCAAACAAACACAAGGACGGAGGCUGACCAUCUAUCUCUAAAGGCACCUCACUGUGCCUUCAGACAGAGUGGAGGGGAGGAGGGGCCCAAGCUUAUUUGGUGAAAAUAAAGGGAAAGGUGAGGCUGCACACACCUGAAACAUCUUACCUAGGAUGUUGCAAGUCACCACAGUCAAGAAGAAGCGGGAAUCUCGUAGAUCAAUUUUCUAUUCAUUUCUGCAAAUUUAUUGGAUUAGUGUGAUUAUUCAGAUAGUCAAAACAGAAGCCCACGCCUUAUAAUAUACCUAUCUGCAACAUGUACUGGGAGAACUGCGUUUAAGAAAUUCACAUUAAAAAAAAAAAAAAAAGAAGGAAACACAUUUUUUUUCUACUUUGACUUGACUUCUUGUGUCAUAAGGUUUGAACGUUGGUUGGGGAGGAUUUGCAAUGUGGGAGACAGAGAAAAGGGACUUUUCUCUUACCUCAUCAACAGCCAAUCUUCCUAUUUCCGUCGAACCCUAAAAUAAUAACUAAGGAGGGAGUCCAACCAAGAUGGGACAUGAUUCUCUGAAGAGCUUUCCUUUUUGAUAUUCAGAGGCUUGACAACAGAUAUCAAGACGAUUAUCCCGGGGCAGUUGUGGCUCUUUAUUCCAAUUUGACUGACUCCCCUAAAGACUUCUCUGCUGGAUGUUUCUAGGAGAAACAAAUACUCACUACAUGUCACUUAAUGAAUGUCCUUAGGGACAGUCCUCUAGAGAAAGUCUCUCAGGGAUGUUGAAAGAUCCCCUUGCAUACCACUUCCUGCUCCUCUUUCUGGGAACAAGAGCAACCAGAAUUUCAAGACUGCUUGGAAUAGAGAGGGAGAGUAGACCUUUCUCUCAGUAGGUCAAAGGACAUUUGAUACUGGCCCAAAACUUGGCGAUUCUUUCAUUCUAGAAGGAUGCAAAUGUGGGACUUUUGAUGAUUCUAGGCCUUAAAUUUUCAGCAAUCAUUUCCUAAAGGCACUGAAACCCAAACCCCUCCCAUGGCCCUCUCCCCGCUGAGAGGUUGAACGGUAUCCUCGCUGUCUUUCUUCUCAGCGGUAGACUCCAAGAGACUUGGAAGGAGUAAACUGCCAUUAGGGAGUAGGUGGUGAGCAAAACAAGGGGUGGUGGGCGGUGGGAGUGGGUUCAGCUCAAGGCUGUUAACAUUUUUGGCGUUGGCGCUUGGGAAGGAAUUAGCAGAAAGGAUUCACUACCAGCAAAAGUAUCAAACAACUCACACAAGGAGAAGAAAGGUGUCUGAGAAAUGUUUAAAAAAAAAAAAAAAAAAAAAGGCAGCCUUUCCAGGACAAGUAACUUGCCUUUUAGAAGGUUUUGAAGAUUAGGGCACUUAAGGCACAGCUGCUAAACCUGAAUGAGCCCUUCAAAGAACAAAGCAAAGUCAGCUGGUCGUGGUGGGUGGAGCGGAGCAUUUCCUAUUGUUGACCAGGGCAAAGGCUAGAGAAAAGCGGAAGUGCUGUGGCUGCUGAGAUGAAGUGUUCUCUGGAGCAGGACUCGGAUGCUUCCAGGAAAAGGUUGAGGCUCACCACUGCCCUGUGUCUCUGGCUUCUUAUUCCUACGUUUAAUUGGCAUAAGAGCAUCCUCACAGGAUGUACACACAUUUCCUUCUAAAGUGCCUGGGAAAUGAUGCUUGCGUUAAGUUGUUUGGGGUUCGUUUGGGUGGGCUUUGUGCAUGCUAAAGUGACCGUCCUAACCUGAGUUUUGUCUUCCUUUUAAAGAGGUAGAAAUAAGAGACAUUGAGGAAACAACACAGGUGCCUGUCCAUUUGAGAGAACCGGCAUAUUUGAAUGCUUCUUAUACUAACUCUUAUCUCAUUGUAAGAUUUUUAUUUUAAGCCCCUUACUCUGAUUACACUUUAUCCUUCUUGGAGGAUGGUAUCCAAGCAACAUGUCUCUCCUGCUAUAUAAUUCUGAGCGUUCUCAUUCCUGGAGUCCCUGAGCCAUGCAAGCUUACCAUGAAGGCUGCAGCUGCGCUGUCAGGAGCAAUUUUCUCACUGUUCCCUGCCUUUGAGCAUCGGAUUUCCUGCCUGUGCUUUGCAAGCAGGGAUCAGUCCCCUUUGUCUGAAAAGGAAAUUCCAAUUCUUUAAACGUGUUGUUAGAAACCAAUACCACUGAAUAUCCAAAUUACUUUGGAAACUCUUUCCAAUGGAAAACUGCAUUAAAACACGCCAAACAUUAUACUGGGAGCUGAGAAAUUCUGAGAGAUAAGGCACUGAAGUCUUAGUAACGACAGAGCCUCAGCAUCAGCCAUUCGCGGUUAAAUAAGACAGAGAAUGAGCUGAAGAUGGAGCAAAAGCCAUGACUGGCUCCAAACCUUAUUCCAUUGACUUUGCAAACCAAGCCAGCUGAGUCUUUAAUGUGAAACAAAUAGAAAAGGAAAAAACAAAAACAAGCAAACAAACAAAAAACUGAUGGGCAAAAGCAAAAAAAAAAAAAGUAAUAAUAAAUGUUUGUAAGAAAAUGCAGGAGGAGGAAUGUGUAUGUUUAAAGAAUAACCGUUUCAAUAAAAUAUAUAAGCCAAACUGACAUUUGUAAAAUAGUAAGAUUAAUGUUUUUGUUGUCAUCUUGUACACAAAGCAUUUCAGAAUUGCUGUUCCAAAAGGUAUUUAUGGUAUGUUUCGUUUCUGGUACUAUGCUGUUUGUGUGUCAGUCUGCUGUGUUGCCUUGUAAACCGGGUGGUACUUGUCACAAAAGCAGUUAUUGAUUGUAAGUCCAUUUGUAACAGCAAUGAGAAAAUAAAUAAGGGACGGUGGCA